UAUAAUGGCCCAGUGUGAGUGAACAUGCCCAAUGAUGGACUAACAUCCUAUCCAGGAUUGGUUCUUCUUCAGGACAUGUCAUACUCUGACAGACUCGGAGAAUUAAACCUGUAUAUCUCCAGCAGAGGAGAUGACAUGGAGUCCUAAUCCAGGUCUUCAAAUUCCUCAAAGGCAUUGAUAAAGUAAAUCCAGCAGCAAUCUUUCAAUUUAAGGGUGAAUCAUGUACUCUAGGACACCAGUGAAAAUCAAGGCUGCCAAUUAUAGUAACAAUGAGAUGAAAGUGAAAAAGGAGCCAGCAGUAAGCCAUCUCUACCGGACCCAGGUCACUCUGUACAUAUGUGUUCAUCACAAAUAUGUUUAAAUAAAAUAUUU